GCUGGCGGCGUGCCUAAUACAUGCAAGUAGAACGCUGAAGAGAGGAGCUUGCUCUUCUUGGAUGAGUUGCGAACGGGUGAGUAACGCGUAGGUAACCUGCCUUGUAGCGGGGGAUAACUAUUGGAAACGAUAGCUAAUACCGCAUAACAAUGGAUGACACAUGUCAUUUAUUUGAAAGGGGCAAUUGCUCCACUACAAGAUGGACCUGCGUUGUAUUAGCUAGUAGGUGAGGUAAUGGCUCACCUAGGCGACGAUACAUAGCCGACCUGAGAGGGUGAUCGGCCACACUGGGACUGAGACACGGCCCAGACUCCUACGGGAGGCAGCAGUAGGGAAUCUUCGGCAAUGGGGGCAACCCUGACCGAGCAACGCCGCGUGAGUGAAGAAGGUUUUCGGAUCGUAAAGCUCUGUUGUAAGUCAAGAACGGGUGUGAGAGUGGAAAGUUCACACUGUGACGGUAGCUUACCAGAAAGGGACGGCUAACUACGUGCCAGCAGCCGCGGUAAUACGUAGGUCCCGAGCGUUGUCCGGAUUUAUUGGGCGUAAAGCGAGCGCAGGCGGUUUGAUAAGUCUGAAGUUAAAGGCUGUGGCUCAACCAUAGUUCGCUUUGGAAACUGUCAAACUUGAGUGCAGAAGGGGAGAGUGGAAUUCCAUGUGUAGCGGUGAAAUGCGUAGAUAUAUGGAGGAACACCGGUGGCGAAAGCGGCUCUCUGGUCUGUAACUGACGCUGAGGCUCGAAAGCGUGGGGAGCGAACAGGAUUAGAUACCCUGGUAGUCCACGCCGUAAACGAUGAGUGCUAGGUGUUGGAUCCUUUCCGGGAUUCAGUGCCGCAGCUAACGCAUUAAGCACUCCGCCUGGGGAGUACGACCGCAAGGUUGAAACUCAAAGGAAUUGACGGGGGCCCGCACAAGCGGUGGAGCAUGUGGUUUAAUUCGAAGCAACGCGAAGAACCUUACCAGGUCUUGACAUCCCGAUGCUAUUUCUAGAGAUAGAAAGUUACUUCGGUACAUCGGUGACAGGUGGUGCAUGGUUGUCGUCAGCUCGUGUCGUGAGAUGUUGGGUUAAGUCCCGCAACGAGCGCAACCCCUAUUGUUAGUUGCCAUCAUUCAGUUGGGCACUCUAGCGAGACUGCCGGUAAUAAACCGGAGGAAGGUGGGGAUGACGUCAAAUCAUCAUGCCCCUUAUGACCUGGGCUACACACGUGCUACAAUGGUUGGUACAACGAGUUGCGAGUCGGUGACGGCGAGCUAAUCUCUUAAAGCCAAUCUCAGUUCGGAUUGUAGGCUGCAACUCGCCUACAUGAAGUCGGAAUCGCUAGUAAUCGCGGAUCAGCACGCCGCGGUGAAUACGUUCCCGGGCCUUGUACACACCGCCCGUCACACCACGAGAGUUUGUAACACCCGAAGUCGGUGAGGUAACCUUUUGGAGCCAGCCGCCUAAGGUGGGACAGAUGAUUGGGGUGAAGUCGUA
rnacentral:rRNA from 1 species